GCUGUGCUGUCAAUAGCACGCGAGCUUUUUAGUGAAAAUUACAUCUUACUUUGGCAGGUUGAAAGUUACCUCGUCAAUUCAAUUAAACCCGAUUUUAGUGGGCUGUAAUGAGACCUACUGUUUAGCCACGACUGUCAUCGAGUAUCCCUGUAUGUGUUGCUUCAGUCACGGGCGCCUGAGGUUCCCGCCUGUGUUCCAGAGGAGAGGAAUGGAAAACAAAUGAAGUGCAUCUUCCUGAAUGGGGAGCCUUUCACUCCACCGAUAGACUUUCCAAAGAGAGUGGCGGAAAUGGUGGCUCGCUGUGACAGGCUUCAGUUGUGCCUCAGCACACAGGCAUUUACACCCCUGCUCCCCCCCCCCCACUGUCAGCCCAUCCAACGUUUACCCUACUUUACAGUGUUGGCUGGGACAGAAAGGACCGGAUAAACUUCCGUCGAUGAUGAUGGUGCAGAACUCCAGCAGAGAGCAGCAAGUUGACAGGAAAACGUGGCAGGAGAUGGCAGAGCUAACACCCAAAACCCACAAUCUGCGGAGAGACGUGCACCUUCGAGGUCCUCAUGCUCGUGAGUCAGGCCGACAAGUCGGAGGAAUAAAUAAUAAGUAGCGGACAGAUGUGGAUGACUCUGGAGGAGGUGGAGCUGAAGUUGAAGGUCGUUUAGCUUUUAUGCUGCUGCUUUUCACUCCAUGGAGUAGCUCAGUUUAAUUAUGCCCCUCUGUUUUAGCUUGAACAGUUUAAGUCUAUGGAUAUUUAAAUCUAAAUACUAAAGUGUAAUCUUUAAGUGGCUUGUGGAUUGGAAAUUGAGGUUCACCAUUUCCUAAAACAAUGCUGACUCUUUUUCAUGUAAGUAGGAGUAUUUCCUUAGUUAGAGCUAGCUUACUUGAUUCUGCUUGUGCAUUCUUGUUAUGGUUGGUGUUUAAUGUGCAUUAUGGGGGUCGGGCAUUGUGGAGGAGGCCUGUGGUGGAUUGUGGCACCAUAUGCAGGACUGAGUCCUGCUCUCCUUACAGGAACAGCAAAUUCUACAAAGGUCCUCCUUAAUAUACAGAUUUUUUUUCCUGUAAUUGAUGGAAAACCAUGUCGACAACAUUGGGCAGGAAGACCUAUCGAUAAAAAGAAUAAAAUAAUAGUGUGUCUGUGAAACAAAAACUUAAAGCAAACAAAUACGAUAUUUUGCAUAGAAAACAGGAUGACGUUAAAAGGCUGCUGAUGCUGACCGCUGCAUUUAAUUCACCUGAAUACCCUUUAUCUCUAACAUAAGUCACUAGAAUUACAGCUGUGCUUACUCUAGACAAAGCUCACUAUUUAGCUGGCUUGGAAACUGACCUGGCUAAUCAUAUCUGGGUAGCAUUUAGAGGUAUGCAAAUAGCACAUAAGUGCAACAUAUAAGCACACAAUAUGUUCCCGGCUACAGGCUGGCAGUAACAAUACGUCCUGCAGUGAUGUAAAAAUCUCAGAUCCUACCAUUUUCCCCUUUUCUCGGCACUGAUACAUGGUUGCUCCUGCAUCUAUCAUAAGUGCUGCUCCCCAUCGCAUAAGUGAACGUGAGCAGUACCUUUGAAAUAAUGAAAGUGUUUCCCCCUGCAAAACGAGUGCUGGCAGUGAUGUAUGGAGUUCAAGGGGAAACCUGAAAAGCGGAAGCAUUUCUGAUCUUCUGAAUGCUUCAACGAAUGAAGGCUCAUAAUUAUAUUUUCCAAAAGGAGCCUUUAGCCCAACAUCUUUAUUACAACACCAUUAGUCAGAAUUUCCAUGGAAGAAAAAAAUAAGCUUGCGGGUUUUUCUCCCCUGUCCCAUUUACAGAAAGUUAAUUUCUUUGAGUGGAAUGGAAAGGAAUUACAAUUUGCCCCUCUCAGAAGGACGUUGAUGCAUAUUAUAAAAGUAAGCAUAUGUCACUGUGACGAGGCUCAGAGGAAUGGAUGCUGAUGCAGUAUCUCGCAGUGUGCCUUGUGUCUGAGAAGAUGGCUCGUCACUUAAUAUGCGUUUUCCUGCAUGUUUUUCUGCACAGUAACUGUAGGGACUACUCUGUUAGUGGUUAAGGUACCUCUGUCUGCACUACCUUAAAGUAGAUUUCCUGUGGCCUCUCAGCUCUAUGAGUCCGGGUUUGGAUAAGGCCUACGUGGUACCUUAGACCCCCUCUACAUGUGUGUGUCUACAACUUGGCACAUUCCGGCCAGGGAUUGAUGUGUUGGAUGCUGAUGACUCAGAUUUACAAGAUGCCUCCUUCAUUUCAUACUGACUAGGCCUUGCAGCUUUUCAGUUUGUCAGAGUAAGAGCAGGAUUCAACUCGAGGCUCGUUUAUAGGGUUAUAUUUAGCUUAAUCUUGUCUUGAACGCGUGCUGCGUCAUUCUUGAUUACACGCUGAUGUAAUUCUGUGUCCUCCCCAUGUGCUGCAGCUGUGUGUCUCUCACUGUCGCAUUUAUUUAUCCUCUGACAGGCAUGUCGUCCGCAUCUCCUCUGCCUGCAUCCAUGAUAAAGUUAUUGUGCUUCACCCUGAUGCUGUUACAAAGUCGCUGAAAUUGUCAUGCAGUUUUGUAGCUGCAGAUUUUAGCACGCAGCUUUAUUAAGUUAAAGCUGGAUUCUUCCGUUAUUUCCAUUAUUAAAUAAUGUAACAGUUAAUGGGGAAGCAGCUAUUCCAGGCACUGAAUGGAAGCUGAAUUCAUGUCGUGUUUCCUGCCUGCUUUUGACAAAUUAGAUGUUCAUUGGACAAUUAUCAUCCUCGGUAUCAAAAAAGUGUUAAUAGAAUCUGUCACUGUCUUAUUUUGAGCGUUUAAAACCUUAUUAAUCAGCUGAUUAAUUGUUAGAUAUUACUCACUGUACUACAGUAAGUGAGUGAGUGAGACCGUGAGUGUGUGUGAAAGAGAGUGUGCCAUUGCACGUUAACAUUUUGCUCCUCUGCAUUUAUAAAGUGAAGGUCCCCCAAUGCCCCUCAGUGAAGCCCAUGGAUUCUCUCUCUGUCAGGGCUUAAUGUCUUUUCACAGUAUUCCAGUGUUUUGUUUUUAUUCGGGAUUUAGUAGCCAAAUAAACAUUAUACAUGUUUUUUUUUUUUUUUCGGAAGUAACAGUUAACUGUUAAAAAUAUUGAUAUUUUUAAAUAGACCUUAUAGUUGCCAGUUCAGAUCUUGUGUUAUUCCCAUGAGGAAAGUAUUAAGCAUUUUCCCCCAGUAAAAUAUUUAGCUGUAUUAAAUAAGCUAUAUAAUUGGAUAAACAAGGUGUAAGAAAGGGAUAUCAGUUUUUCAUUGACGUGUUGGUUGAGAAAAUGUCAUUAAAUACCAUCCAGAAGUCUACUCAAA